rnacentral:rRNA from 1 species
CCCUUAGAUGUCCGGGGCUGCACGCGCGCUACACUGAAGGAAUCAGCGUGCGAAAACCAUUGUCGAAAGGCAUUGGUAAACCCAUUAAAAUCCUACGUGAUUGGGAUCGGGAAUUGCAAUUAUUUCCCUUGAACGAGGAAUUCCCAGUAAGUGUGGGUCAUAAGCUCGCGUUGAUUACGUCCCUGCCCUUUGUACACACCGCCCGUCGCUGCCCGGGACUGAGCCGUUUCGAGAAAAGCGGGGACUGCUGCUGUCGGGGCUUUCGGGCCUUGGCUUCGGUGGAAACCGCUUUAAUCGCAGUGGCUUGAACCGGGCAAAAGUCGUAACA